GGAGCGGACUCUCUGUUUCCCAGUCUGGAGUGUCUGCAGGCUGCUCGUGUGUCUGUGUUGCCAGACGCCCUGGGCGGUCCCCUGCUCCCGCACCCUUCCUCUGCGGUCCCGAUGCUGGCCUCACCCUUAUCGUCCACUCCCGCUCCACCCCUGGACCAGUUCCCUCCUGCGCAGGUGGCCAACGCCCUCCUGCCCCACCCGGCCUUGGACGCGGCUCAGGACGAACGUUCCGGCAGCCGGUUCGACCCUGUGCCGGUGCUCCUCUCCAAAACGCCCAGCCAAGAGGCAAAAGGGACUAAUGGGUAUGGGAAGCUUCUGGAGGCCGCCGAAGCGGAGAUCCCUGCCGAGGGCUGCUUCCAUUCCAGUGACGAAGAGGACGAUGAACGCAAGAGCAAGGAGGUGCAGCUGAGUGGCAGCGGUUCCCGGCCGUUACUGCAGGAUUCCGACGAAGAGGAGCGGGAGACGGCAGCUUCCGGAAGCCUCUGUGCUCCCUCCAGCCUGCAGCCUGCCGCUACCCCGCACUCCUCUCUGAUUACCCAUCAGGCCCCCGGGCAGGCCGGUCGAUCGGAACCCGAUGCCGACGUCUUCUCCCAAGCUCCGUUCCGGAUGGCGCAGGGGGCCGACGGUGGCGGCAGCGACGACGUGUUUGCUAACGCUCCGUUCCUCCGGCCUUCUGCUCCGCCCCACCCGCCCGACGUCUUCCUCCAAGCCCCCUUCUGCAGGCGAAAGGAAACCCGGGGCUCCUUGUACCCCCAUCCGGUCACCCUGUCCGGCUCGCAGCACCCCCACCCGGUGAUCUCUUACCCUGGCGGCAACGAGCACAGCAUCCUCAGCCAGGUGGCUCCUCAGCCCUUUCGACCGCAGGCUUUAGCCAAAUACUCCAGACAUUACGAGGGACCCCUCGCCUCUGAGGCUGAUGGGGCCCAGUUAGGGGAGUCCGGCAUGGGCAAUAAGGGUCCGGUCGCUUCCUGUACGCCUGACGUAAAUGAUCCAUUUGUUUCUGCACCCUUCCAUCUUAAAGCCCCCCAGGAGAAGCACUGACACUACAAGUCCCAUACACUACGCUCAAAAAGACCCCUAGAAUUGAGCUGCACCUUGCAAGUCUGCACCCAGUGUAUUAUGUUUUGUAGUCCAUUGUUUUAAGAACCCAGAGAUGUAGAGAUGCCAAGAUAAGUGUGAAUCCCUUUGAUUAAAAGCUGCUCCGUGAAUACGUUGCAGCCAUAAUGUUAAAUAUCGUUCAAGAAAGAAGCACAUUUGUGUCUUGUGGAGGGGUCUUCUGUAGGGCUGCCCCCUUAUUCCUCGCAAAAUGGGGGUUGUCUUAUCAUCUGUUCUUUGCCUACCUCAGUCUGGUCCUAUGCUGAGAGAGACUGUCCAUUUUUUUCGGCCUAGUGCAUGUCUAAAUAAUGUAUAAUUAGGUGGUUUUGCAUUGCUUUGAGGUUGACCAUCAAUCAUU
ensembl:lncRNA